ACGGAAGGCAGCAGUGGGGAAUAUUGGGCAAUGGGCGAAAGCCUGACCCAGCAACGCCGCGUGAAGGAAGAAGGCCUUCGGGUUGUAAACUUCUUUUAUCAGGGACGAAGAACGUGACGGUACCUGAUGAAUAAGCCACGGCUAACUACGUGCCAGCAGCCGCGGUAAUACGUAGGUGGCAAGCGUUAUCCGGAUUUACUGGGUGUAAAGGGCGCGUAGGCGGGGAUGCAAGUCAGGUGUGAAAUCUAUGGGCUUAACCCAUAAACUGCAUUUGAAACUGUAUCUCUUGAGUGUCGGAGAGGUAGAUGGAAUUCCUAGUGUAGCGGUGAAAUGCGUAGAUAUUAGGAGGAACACCAGUGGCGAAGGCGAUCUACUGGACGAUAACUGACGCUGAGGCGCGAAAGCGUGGGGAGCAACCAGGAUUAGAUACCCUGGUA
rnacentral:rRNA from 1 species